GGGUUGUGAGGUUAAGCGACUAAGCGUACACGGUGGAUGCCCUGGCAGUCAGAGGCGAUGAAGGACGUGCUAAUCUGCGAUAAGCGCCGGUAAGGUGAUAUGAACCGUUAUAACCGGCGAUUUCCGAAUGGGGAAACCCAGUGUGAUUCGUCACACUAUCAUUAACUGAAUCCAUAGGUUAAUGAGGCGAACCGGGGGAACUGAAACAUCUAAGUACCCCGA
rnacentral:rRNA from 3 species